CUCGUAGGCGGUUUGUCGCGUCUGCUGUGAAAAUCCAGGGCUUAACCCUGGACCUGCAGUGGGUACGGGCAGACUAGAGUGCGGUAGGGGAGAUCGGAAUUCCUGGUGUAGCGGUGAAAUGCGCAGAUAUCAGGAGGAACACCGGUGGCGAAGGCGGAUCUCUGGGCCGUAACUGACGCUGAGGAGCGAAAGCAUGGGGAGCGAACA
rnacentral:rRNA from 1 species